rnacentral:rRNA from 1 species
UUGAACGCUGGCGGCAGGCCUAACACAUGCAAGUCGAGCGGAUGAAGGGAGCUUGCUCCUGGAUUCAGCGGCGGACGGGUGAGUAAUGCCUAGGAAUCUGCCUGGUAGUGGGGGAUAACGUCCGGAAACGGGCGCUAAUACCGCAUACGUCCUGAGGGAGAAAGUGGGGGAUCUUCGGACCUCACGCUAUCAGAUGAGCCUAGGUCGGAUUAGCUAGUUGGUGGGGUAAAGGCCUACCAAGGCGACGAUCCGUAACUGGUCUGAGAGGAUGAUCAGUCACACUGGAACUGAGACACGGUCCAGACUCCUACGGGAGGCAGCAGUGGGGAGUAUUGGACAAUGGGCGAAAGCCUGAUCCAGCCAUGCCGCGUGUGUGAGGAAGGUCUUCGGAUUGUAAAGCACUUUAAGUUGGGAGGAAGGGCAGUAAGUUAAUACCUUGCUGUUUUGACGUUACCAACAGAAUAAGCACCGGCUAACUUCGUG